UGAUUGACAUGAAUUCCAGGUUCGCGUGGAAAUGUUUAGUGUUCGUUUCGCUGAGGUAUAACGGCAGUGCUGUUUCCGCGUAUGAGGAUUGUAGCAGUCUUCACUGGUUCCUAAGACGUGAAAACAAUUAGUCAUUUGAAGGAUGGUUUAGAAGUCUCUGCGUAUCUUGGUAAAUAUUUUUGCUUCUUAAAGCUAAGGUUUAGAACGUUGGCACUCUGAAAGCUUCGGGUUCUUCAGUUAAAACAUACCCUGGUAUCGUUUGGAAUGUGUGAUAAUGUCGUAGAAGUAAUGGGCUACAAGUAACUGAAAUACACUUGCUCUUGGUUCGCUGAAGGUGCUUGAUUACACUUUAAAAAAAGUGGAAGUGUUCGAUGAGUUAUUUUACCUGAACUAGUGUUGCUGUUCAAAAUUGGAUCAGAUUUCCAAUAAAUUAAAUUAAAAC